UACGUAGGGUGCAAGCGUUAAUCGGAAUUACUGGGCGUAAAGCGUGCGCAGGCGGUUAUGUAAGACAGGUGUGAAAUCCCCGGGCUUAACCUGGGAACUGCAUUUGUGACUGCAUAGCUAGAGUACGGCAGAGGGGGAUGGAAUUCCGCGUGUAGCAGUGAAAUGCGUAGAUAUGCGGAGGAACACCGAUGGCGAAGGCAGUCCCCUGGGCCUGUACUGACGCUCAUGCACGAAAGCGUGGGGAGCAAACAGG
rnacentral:rRNA from 1 species